rnacentral:rRNA from 1 species
UACGGAGGAUCCAAGCGUUAUCCGGAUUUAUUGGGUUUAAAGGGUGCGUAGGCGGUUUGAUAAGUUAGAGGUGAAAUACCGGUGCUCAACACCGGAACUGCCUCUAAUACUGUUGAACUAGAGAGUAGUUGCGGUAGGCGGAAUGUAUGGUGUAGCGGUGAAAUGCUUAGAGAUCAUACAGAACACCGAUUGCGAAGGCAGCUUGCUAGGCCGGAUCUGACACUGAUGCACGAAAGCGUGGGGAUCGAACAGG